UAAAGGAAAAGAAAGAAUGGGAUUAAGGGAAGGGGCGGAAGGCUCAUGGCAGGAAACAAAAAAAAAAAAAAAAAAAAAAAAAAAACUUUGGAUAGUAAAAGAACUCUAACGCAGGGGAAAUUUACGGGCAGCAAUGCUUUAAGGGAAAAGAGAAGCUUUUAUCAGUAAAUUUCAAGAAGGAAGAAGGAAUAAAGAUUAUCAAGCUUCAUUGUUGAUUCCUACACAAAAAGAUUGAUUGAAGAAAAGUCGUAUAGAUCGCUCGAGGUGACGAAUUUGGUAUUUCGAGACGAGUACAAGACAGCAGUUGACGCAGGCGAGGAUUUCGUUAAGUAGAG